rnacentral:rRNA from 1 species
AUUGAACGCUGGCGGCAGGCCUAACACAUGCAAGUCGAACGAGUGGCGGACGGGUGAGUAAUGUCUGGGAAACUGCCCGAUGGAGGGGGAUAACUACUGGAAACGGUAGCUAAUACCGCAUACCAUCGGAUGUGCCCAGAGUGGAUUAGCUAGUAGGUGGGGUAACGGCUCACCUAGGCGACGAUCCCUAGCUGGUGUGAGAGGAUGACCAGCAACACUGGAACUGAGACACGGAACAGACUCCAAAGGGAGACAGCAGGGGGGAAGAUUGCACAAUGGGCGCAAGCCUGAUGCAGCCAUGCCGCGUGUAUGAAGAGGGCCUUCGGGUUGUAAAGUACUUUCAGCGAGGAGGCGUGACUCGAAGAAGAAGCACCGGCUAACUCAGUGCCAGCAGACGCGGUAAUAC